rnacentral:tRNA from 1 species
AAGGGAGACCUAAUUCGGGUAGAAGACGAAAAAAUAGUAGUCGAAACCAAGAAUCAAUCCCAAAAGGUCGGAACGAGGUAUGUGGCUUUCAAACUAGGUUCUGGGUUCACAAAAGACCUGAAUCAGGAACAAGGGCUAUUAGCUCAGGUGGUUAGAGCGCACCCCUGAUAAGGGUGAGGUCCCUGGUUCGAGUCCAGGAUGGCCCACCUGCACAGGUGGCAAAAACAAGAGAAACGAGGAAUCAGCACCUUAUCUUACUUACAUAGUAAGAGAGAAUGCUGGCUCUGAGUAAAGAGUCCAGAGGAACCUUGAAAACUGCAUAGAGCUAGGUGAAAAAGCUAAAAAAGAAGACCGCAA